UACUGCAUCUUUCUGACUAUAUAUGGGAUAGGCAUAAAGUUUCUUUUCAGUCACUCCAACUGAGGAAAUGAUUUUGCUCACACCCGCAAGCUAUUUAGCGGUCUCUUUGUUCCCUUGUUUCUUCAAAGGAGAGUUGGGAACCAUGAGGCUCCUCAUUCCAAGCUCAGAGGUACUUCUUCCCCAGGGAGCUUGCGGAAAGUUAGUGACAGUUAGUGAAAGGGUGGGAGUCUCCGACUCUCAGAUUCCCCUCCCCCACUCGUGGCAGUUGGAUCCGUUGAGGUCUCCGGGCUGUUUUGGCAGUUGGCUUGUAGAACUCUGGAAGAAGGAGAAUACCCCGGCCCAGUUCUCCUGCUUAGAGAUCUGGGAGGACACUGUUGUGAUUUCGACUGUCCUGUCUUUUUGCAGCAGUAUUACGAUGUCCCACCUUGGAAGAGCCUUUUCUGGGAUAAAGCUCCUGUUAAAUUAUAAUUUCCUCGUAGGAAAGACAGGACUCCAGCUGCCACCACAUUGUUUCCCUUAUCGUGAAUCCUUCCAGCAACUAACUGUUCACUGA
rnacentral:lncRNA from 1 species